rnacentral:rRNA from 1 species
ACUACGGGUGGCAGCAGUGAGGAAUAUUGGUCAAUGGACGCAAGUCUGAACCAGCCAUGCCGCGUGCAGGAAGACGGCUCUAUGAGUUGUAAACUGCUUUUGUACGAGGGUAAACGCAGAUACGCGUAUCUGUCUGAAAUUAUCGUACGAAUAAGGAUCGGCUAACUCCGUUCCAGCAGCCGAGGUACUACGGAGGAUUCAAGCGUUAUCUGGAUUUAUUGGGUUUAAAGGGUGCCUAGGCGGUCGGUUAAGUUAGGGGUGAAAUCCCGAGGCUCAACUUCGGAAUUGCCUCUGAUACUGUUUGGCGAGAGAGUAGGUGCGGUAGGUGGAAUGUAUGGUGUAGCGGUGAAAUGCUUAGAGAUCAUACAGAACACCGAUUGCGAAGGCAGCUUACCAAGCUACUUCGGACGUUGAGGCACGAAAGCGUGGGGAGCAAACAGGAUUAGAUACCCGGGUAGUC